GACGAACGCUGGCGGCGUGCUUAACACAUGCAAGUCGAACGGAAAGGCCCCUUUGGGGGUACUCGAGUGGCGAACGGGUGAGUAACACGUGAGUAACCUGCCCUUGACUUCGGGAUAACUUCAGGAAACUGGGGCUAAUACCGGAUAGGAAUCCUUGCUGCAUGGUGGGGGGUGGAAAGCUUCGGCGGGGUUGGAUGGACUCGCGGCGUAUCAGCUUGGUGGUGGGGUAGUGGCUUACCAAGGCUUUGACGGGUAGCCGGCCUGAGAGGGCGACCGGCCACAUUGGGACUGAGAUACGGCCCAGACUCCUACGGGAGGCAGAAGUGGGGAAUAUUGCACAAUGGGCGGAAGCCUGAUGCAGCAACGCCGCGUGCGGGAUGACGGCCUUCGGGUUGUAAAACGCUUUCAGCAGGGGCGAAGCUUGUGGUGACGGUACCUGCAGAAGAAGCACCGGCUAACUACGUG
rnacentral:rRNA from 1 species